rnacentral:rRNA from 1 species
CCUACGGGAGGCAGCAGUGGGGGAUAUUGCACAAUGGGGGGAACCCUGAUGCAGCGACGCCGCGUGGGUGAAGAAGCGCCUCGGCGCGUAAAGCCCUGUCUGCAGGGAAGAAAAUGACGGUACCUGAAGAAGAAGCCCCGGCUCACUACGUGCCAGCAGCCGCGGCAAUACGUCGGGGGCAAGAGUUAUCCGGAUUUACUGGGUGUAAAGGGGGCGCAGACGGCGAUGCAAGCCAGGAGUGAAAGCCCGGGGGCCAACCCCGGGACUGCUCUUGGAACUGCGUGGCUGGAGUGCAGGAGGGGCAGGCGGAAUUCCUGGUGUAGCGGUGAAAUGCGUAGAUAUCAGGAGGAACACCGGUGGCGAAGGCGGCCUGCUGGACUGCAACUGACGUUGAGGCCCGAAAGCGUGGGGAGCAAACAGGAUUAGAUACCCGGGUAGUC